GUCUUGGAGGUAAUGAGGCCUGACGGCUUUGGCUGGUGCACGAUCACAAUCUCACCCUGGUAUCUUUGAAAUUCUUUGUUGCCAUAUUCAUAAAGGAAGAAAUGACUUUUGCAAAAUGACAGUAAACAUGCUUCAUUUUAUAAGACAUUGUGGUUAACAACCUGAAACAAUGAAGCGUUUUUUGAGCUAUAGCUAAACUAAUUUGAGCUAUGUUAAAAGUGCUGAUGUAUAUGAGCCUCAUCUUGAAAAAUAAAAAGACAUGGAGCAGGCUGGCUCUUUGAAAGGCUGGGAUUACUGCACUGCGUUGUCACUUCAGUACAUGGAUCAGCUGCCCUGGGAGACGGAAGACAACUGCUGCUGAACACCUCGCUGGAGAACAAACUGCUCUCAUCGUUGAACUGUUGACUUUUUCACUGACACCAUGAAUACUACCUGGCUGUGCAUC